GCCAUGGAAUCGUGAACGCUCGUUACGCCACUAGCCUAAACAUUUUUUAAAAAAUCAUCUGCCACGUGUCUCAGCAUCUCCGAAUCAGCCAAAUUUAAUACGGGGUCCCACUUUUCCAUCGGCACCGCCUCUCUCUUCCUACAAUCACAACAAGAAGAAGCAGCCUAUCUCUCUCACCACGCUAAGCUUCAGUUCGUCAGCGUCGCAGUCCGCACCUCAAGCUCUCUCUGCUGCUUUAAUCCUCUCAGAACUUCGAUUAGUGACAGAGGAGUACUGAGAAUGGAAUAGAAGAAGAAUAUCAUGAGAGGAUUCGGUGCGGUUUGUUACGCUGCACUUCUCACUGCUCUCCGGUGGAUCUCAACAAUUUCUUCUGCGUAUGCCUCUCUCUUUUGAAGCAUUUCACGCUCGUGUGCAUAUGAUGGUGUGAUUAGAUACGUAUGUGUCACUUUGAACUGCGAUUGCUAUAACAUUUUUUUUUUAUUUUCACUGAAUGGUCUUAUGUUGUUAUGUUACUGGCGAAACCAUCUGUUCCCUGUACAAUCCAUGGAGCUUAAUGUGAUGGACAUAUCACAUAUAAAUGAAUUUCUUGUUGUAGUCCCAUUAUUUGCUCUACAAGCACUGGCUAGUGUCAUAUCCUGGAUUAGGUAACAAUUUCAGUGUUCUGUUCCAUGUGUUUUGUCAUUCUGUUUCAUCGAUUUGGAGAAAGAAGAAAAAGAAAUGUUGAUUUGCCUCAUGCCUGACUUGCUUUCAAAAAGCAUCUACAAGCGCUCCUUGUGAAACCCUAGGUUAUAUUAGGUGUGAUUUGCAGGGGGUGAAUAUGGUGUUUGGAGUGCAUUCUUGGCCCUUCUUGUCCGGCUCCUCUUCUUCAUUCCUGGUGAACUUGAGUUACCAUUUACAGUACUACUUCUGGUGAUUGUCGCACCUUAUCCGUUAUGAACUAAGGGGUACCCAAGAAGGUGCUAUUAUUUUAUUGAUGAUAACAACAUAUUUAGCUUACCAGCACUUUUCUUGGGCAGGCAAUACAAGGAUGUAUAAGAUUUCUGUUGCCUUUUCUUACAUAUUUAUUUGAAAUAUGUUGUUCAUAUAUUUACAUAUAUUGUUCCUUACUCCAUACAAAUCCUAGCUUCUACUUACUUUCCUAUGCUCUCAGAUAGGUUAAAACUUGCAGUUAAUAUAGUAUUCGAGA